ACGAGGGGUGCAAGCGUUGUUCGGAAUUACUGGGCGUAAAGCGUGAGGAGGCGGCUUGUUAAGUCUGAUGUGAAAGCCCUGGGCUUAACCCAGGAACUGCAUCGGAAACUAGCAGGCUAGAGUUCGGGAGAGGGUCGUGGAAUUCUUGGUGUAGAGGUGAAAUUCGUAGAUAUCAAGAGGAACACCGGUGGCGAAGGCGGCGACCUGGACCGACACUGACGCUAAUACACGAAAGCGUGGGGAGCAAACAGGAUUAGAUACCCCUGUAGUCC
rnacentral:rRNA from 1 species